rnacentral:lncRNA from 1 species
AAAAUGGUGAAUGCCUUCCACCUUCUUCUUUCUUCAACACAUAAACCAAAGCCUCGAACUUUGUGUGAGGUGUGAUUGAACCCGGUUUAGCCAAAACCAUCCCUCUUUGGAUAUCGAUCUUUUGAACACCUCUCAACAGAAGUCCGACAUUGUCACCUGCUAAAGCUUCGUCUAGAAUCUUCUGAAACAUUUCGACUCCUGUAACAAUGGUGGUUCUGGUAUCUUUCAACCCCACAAUCUCAACACUCUCUCCGACUCUAACAGUGCCUCUCUCGACACGACCCGUGGCCACUGUUCCACGACCUGUGAUUGAAAACACAUCUUCGAUUGCGCACAGAAAUGGGAGGUCGGUUUGCCUUUGUGGGAUUGGGAUGUAAUCGUCGACUGCUGCCAUUAGUUCAUAGAUUUUAUCGACCCAUUUGUUUUGGCCUUUUGCAAUCUUGGGGUUUUCUGUUAGAGCUUCUAGAGCUAACAAAG